GCUGGGUGUGGUGGCGCACGCCUGUAAUCCUAGCCACUAAGGAAGCUGAGGCAGGAGAAUUGCUUGAACCCAGGAGGCGGAGGCUGCAGUGAGCCGAGAUCGCGCCACUGCCCUCCAGCCUGGGUGACAGAGCGAGACACUCUCUUCU
rfam:Homo sapiens chromosome 14, GRCh38 reference primary assembly.